AAGUUUAUUCCAAUAUAUUGAUUUACAAAAUAUCUCAUUUUAUGUGUUCUUUCAUAAAUAUCAAUAAAAUAUUAAUACUGUAACAAAUAAAAAAUAAAAUGAGUAACACAGUAUGAGAGCAGAACAAUGGCAGGGUUUUACUCUGUUCUUAAACCCUAAAUCAAAAACCCUUUGAUUUUGAUCAAUUCAUGAAUAUGAGUAUGAGUAGAAGAAAUAGGGUUUUCAUCAAAACUCUUUUCUCUCGCUCUCUCAAUUUCUCUUCUUCUUCUUCUUCUUCUUCACACCACACUCUCCCUGGUUUGCUUCAUCCCAAUGAUCCUAUUUUUUCCGAUAACAACAAUUCUAAUCCCUCAAACCCAUUCCAAAAUGAUUUAUCACAACACUAUGAAUUUCUCCGCAACACUUUACUCAAUUCCACUCCCUCACAAACCCUUCCUUCAACUCACUCCCCAAACGACGCCGUUUUCAUAUCAAACGCAAUCAUCAACGGUUUUCAUAUUGAAACUCAUCAAUUUUUUAGACAGUUCCGUACUAGGUUAAACGAGUCUUUGGUGUUGCACGUGAUGGAUAAUGUUAAGAAUCCUGAUUUGUGUGUAAAGUUUUUCUUGUGGAGUGGUCGACAAAUCGGUUACACUCACACUCAUGUAGUGUUUGAUAAAUUGAUUGAGUUAUUGGGAUGUAAUAAUGGCAGUGAUAGGGUUCCUGUAAAGUUUUUGAUGGAAAUUAGGGAUGAUGAUAGAGAAAUUCUUCGUAGGUUGUUAAAUUUUUUAGUUCGAAAGUGUUGUCGAAAUGGGUGGUGGAAUAUGGCUUUGGAAGAGUUGGGUAGGCUUAAGGAUUUUGGGUAUAAGCCUUCUCAAACAACUUAUAAUGCUUUGGUUCAAGUUUUUCUUAGAGCUGAUAAGUUAGAUACUGCUUAUUUGGUUAAGAAAGAGAUGUUGAAUUAUGGGUUUGUUAUGGAUAGGUAUACUAUGAGCUGUUUUGCUUAUUCUUUAUGUAAAGCUGGUAAGUGCAGGGAUGCUUUUGCUUUGAUUGAGGAGGUUGAGGAGUUUGUGCCUGAUACAGUUUUUUAUAAUAGGAUGGUUUCUGGGUUGUGUGAAGCUUCACUUUUUGAAGAAGCGAUGGAUGUCUUACAUAGAAUGAGGUCUAGUUCUUGCAUUCCCAAUGUUGUCACUUAUAGGAUUUUGCUUUCUGGUUGUUUGAGAAAAGGACACCUGGGAAGGUGUAAGAGAAUUCUGAGUAUGAUGAUUACAGAGGGAUGUUAUCCGAAUCGCGAGAUGUUUAAUUCUCUUAUACAUGCUUAUUGUAAAUCACGGGAUUACUCUUAUGCCUAUAAGUUGUUUAAGAAAAUGAUAAAAUGUGGGUGCCAGCCAGGAUAUCUGGUUUAUAAUAUAUUCAUUGGUAGUAUAUGUAGCAAUGAGGAACAGCCUAGCUCGGAUAUUUUAGAAUUGGCGGAGAAAUCUUAUAGUGAGAUGCUUGAUUCAGGGGUUGUGUUAAAUAAGGUUAAUGUCAGCAAUUUUGCACGGUGUCUUUGUGGAGCUGGAAAGUUUGAUAAAGCUUUUAAGAUUAUAUGUGAAAUGAUGGGCAAGGGUUUUGUCCCUGAUGAUAGUACAUAUUCUAAAGUGAUUGGCUUCCUUUGUGAAGUGUCCAAGGUAGAGAAGGCUUAUUCGUUGUUCGAAGAAAUGAAAGGGAAUGGGAUUGUUCCCAGUGUUUACACCUAUACUAUUUUAAUUGAUAGCUUUUGCAAAGCCGGUCUUAUUCAGCAGGCUCGCAAAUGGUUUGAUGAAAUGUUAAGCGAAGGUUGUGCGCCCAAUGUGGUGACUUAUACUGCUCUCAUUCACGCAUACCUGAAAGCAAGAAAGGUGUCUGAUGCAAAUGAACUUUUUGAGAUGAUGUUACUUGAAGGUUGCAAGCCUAAUGUUGUUACGUAUACAGCUUUAAUUGACGGUCAUUGUAAGGCUGGGCAAAUUGAAAAAGCUUGUCAGAUCUAUGCCAGAAUGCGAGGUGACAUAGAAUCCUCUGAUAUGGACAAAUAUUUCAAGCUAGACCAAAACAACUGUGAAGAACCAAAUGUUAUUACAUAUGGGGCUUUGGUGGAUGGUUUAUGCAAAGCAAACAGGGUUAAGGAGGCCCGCGAAUUACUGGAUACCAUGUCGGCUCAUGGUUGUGAGCCUAACCAGAUAGUGUAUGACGCUGUUAUUGAUGGGUUUUGUAAGAUUGGAAAGCUUCAGGAUGCGCAAGAGGUGUUUGCAAAGAUGUCUGAGCGUGGAUACAGUCCAAAUUUGUAUACCUAUAGCUCUUUAAUUGAUUGUCUGUUCAAAGAUAAUCGAUUGGAUCUUGUUUUGAAAGUGUUGUCGAAGAUGCUAGAGAUUUCUUGCACUCCAAAUGUUGUUAUUUACACAGAGAUGGUUGAUGGCCUCUGUAAAGUUGGAAAGACAGAUGAAGCUUACAAGCUCAUGCUUAAGAUGGAAGAAAAGGGUUGUAAUCCAAAUGUUGUAACUUAUACUGCAAUGAUUGAUGGCCUUGGGAAAUCAGGCAAAAUUGAACAGUGCCUUGAGCUCUUUAGAGAUAUGUGCUCAAAGGGCUGUGCUCCAAAUUUUAUAACCUACAGGGUUUUGAUCAGUCAUUGUUGUUCCAAUGGCCUUCUUGAUGAAGCUUACAAACUUUUAGAUGAAAUGAAACAAACAUAUUGGCCAAGGCAUAUAUUAAGCCACCGUAAAAUUAUUGAGGGCUUCAGCCAAGAGUUUAUAACCUCGAUCGGGCUUUUAGAUGAGUUGAGUGAGAGUGAAUCAGUGCCUGUUGAUUCUUUGUACAUAAUUUUGAUUGAUAAUUACAUCAAGGCUGGGAGACUGGAAGUUGCAUCGAACCUCCUUGAAGAAAUUUCAUCAUCUCCAAGCCUUGCAGUUGCCAACAAAUAUUUAUAUACUUCUUUAAUCGAGAAUCUGUCACAUGCAAGUAAGGUUGAUAAAGCCUUAGAGCUGUAUGCUAGCAUGAUAAGUAAGAAUGUUGUUCCAGAGCUUAGCAUACUUGUCCACCUCAUCAAAGGCCUUAUCAAGGUUGACAAGUGGCAAGAAGCACUGCAAUUAUUGGAUAGCAUAUGCCAAAUGGAUAUCCGCUGGCUUAAUGAAGAGGAAACAAGUAUAAAUUAAGUUUCUGUUGUACAGGUUGAUUAUAACCGAAGGAAAAUGGAUACAGGUUGGAUGGAAGAAAUGGCCAAGCUGGUAAUAACAGCGAUAAUGAAAGCAGAAGCAGAGGAUUCUGAUGUCCAAAUCUUGGAAAGUUGCUCUUGAGCUCAUCAUAUUCCAUUGAUGUCCAAAUCAUGUGCAUUAGGUCCACCCAUCAUUACAUCGUGCGGGCGUGACGAUUCUAUCGUCUAUGGUCGUGCAUGCUAAUUGAUGUUAAGCUUGGCAGCUGAGGAAUCAGCCUUUUGACAUUUGUUGAGCCAGGUGUUUCGGAAGCAUUCUUGGUUCAAAUUUUUGCUAUUCUUUUCAGAGCAAGAUAUCUGUGAGAAGAUUUGUUGGUCAUGGAUUGGUGGUCACAGUGGAGUUGUGGAAAUAACUUCUCGUUUUCCUGUGUAGUGUGUACACUUGACAUCUGCAGACUUCACAGUGGUGGGAUUUUCAUGAGCUGAGCUGCCCUUAUUUUAUGGUGGUGUAUAUAGCGUGUUUGGUUUAGCGGUGGACAAAGUCUACCGUGAGUUUAAGGCCCUUCCACCGUGAUUUUUAGAAGCAGCUCCAUAGUGUAGCUUUUGGUCUACCAUAUAUUUUCAAUGUAAUUUUGGUGUUUCCCAAAUGCCCACAUAGAUAGAUUGCAGUGCCAUAUCUUUUAAUUAGAAAGUGACAUCCCUUUUCUUCUUUUGCUACACUUGAAUGAAAUCGAUUGGCUUAAUUUUAGGGGGAGACAUUAUUGAUUUGCAAAGGAAUUUGAAAGUGCUUAUGAGCUUAUUUGAUUUCCUUGAAGCUCUUGUGGCCUAGCUUGUUUUGGACAGCCAGAGGCAGAGACAAUCGCAUCGUGAUUUUUUUAUAAUAGAGAUUUGAGCUUCGGCCAGUCAGAAUCAGCUUCUUGCAAGACUCGUUUCCAAAUAUAUCUUCUGAUAAUGGCUGGUGGUCUGAAAUAGUGAAGUGCAGUUACUGCUCUUUAAAAGAUAGUAUGGCAUUGUUGAGCCUGAGCUGAUGUAGUCAAGUGUAUGCAUUAUUACUCCUCGUUUUUAGUUUAACUGACUCAUACUUUGAUCACAUAGUGACUUAGACAUUUGAAUGAGCAAAGCACCAUUGUCUCCAAGCACACAUAAAUCACUACAAAAUUCUUCCAUCCUUCUGUAUCUCUUGAAUUCGUAUGGGACAAUUACUAAUUUGGAUUAA